rnacentral:rRNA from 1 species
GGCGUGCUUACACAUGCAAGUCGAACGGAAAGGCCCUGCUUUUGUGGGGUGCUCGAGUGGCGAACGGGUGAGUAACACGUGAGUAACCUGCCCUUGACUUUGGGAUAACUUCAGGAAACUGGGGCUAAUACCGGAUAGGAGCUCCUGCUGCAUGGUGGGGGUUGGAAAGUUUCGGCGGUUGGGGAUGGACUCGCGGCUUAUCAGCUUGUUGGUGGGGUAGUGGCUUACCAAGGCUUUGACGGGUAGCCGGCCUGAGAGGGUGACCGGCCACAUUGGGACUGAGAUACGGCCCAGACUCCUACGGGAGGCAGCAGUGGGGAAUAUUGCACAAUGGGCGGAAGCCUGAUGCAGCAACGCCGCGUGCGGGAUGACGGCCUUCGGGUUGUAAACCGCUUUCGCCUGUGACGAAGCGUGAGUGACGGUAAUGGGUAAAGAAGCACCGGCUAACUACGUGCCAGCAGCCGCGGUGAUACGUAGGGUGCGAGCGUUGUCCGGAUUUAUUGGGCGUAAAGGGCUCGUAGGUGGUUGAUCGCGUCGGAAGUGUAAUCUUGGGGCUUAACCCUGAGCGUGCUUUCGAUACGGGUUGACUUGAGGAAGGUAGGGGAGAAUGGAAUUCCUGGUGGAGCGGUGGAAUGCGCAGAUAUCAGGAGGAACACCAGUGGCGAAGGCGAUUCUCUGGGCCUUUCCUGACGCUGAGGAGCGAAAGCGUGGGGAGCGAACAGGCUUAGAUACCCUGGUAGUCCACGCUGUAAACGGUGGGUACUAGGUGUGGGGUCCAUUCCACGGGUUCCGUGCCGUAGCUAACGCUUUAAGUACCCCGCCUGGGGAGUACGGCCGCAAGGCUAAAACUCAAAGGAAUUGACGGGGCCCCGCACAAGCGGCGGAGCAUGCGGAUUAAUUCGAUGCAACGCGUAGAACCUUACCUGGGUUUGACAUGGAUCGGGAGUGCUCAGAGAUGGGUGUGCCUCUUUUGGGGUCGGUUCACAGGUGGUGCAUGGCUGUCGUCAGCUCGUGUCGUGAGAUGUUGGGUUAAGUCCCGCAACGAGCGCAACCCUUGUUCACUGUUGCCAGCACGUUAUGGUGGGGACUCAGUGGAGACCGCCGGGGUCAACUCGGAGGAAGGUGGGGAUGACGUCAAGUCAUCAUGCCCCUUAUGUCCAGGGCUUCACGCAUGCUACAAUGGCUGGUACAGAGAGUGGCGAGCCUGUGAGGGUGAGCGAAUCUCGGAAAGCCGGUCUCAGUUCGGAUUGGGGUCUGCAACUCGACCUCAUGAAGUCGGAGUCGCUAGUAAUCGCAGAUCAGCAACGCUGCGGUGAAUACGUUCCCGGGGCUUGUACACACCGCCCGUCAAGUCAUGAAAGUUGGUAACACCCGAAGCCGGUGGCCUAACCGUUGUGGGGGAGCCGUCGAAGGUGGGACUGGUGAUUAGG